UUGCUCCUAUAAACAGUUAAAUAAGUGAUCCUGUUCUAGACAAAUACUUUGUUUAAAAAAAGACCCUGUUUUCACCAGCAGGGCAUAAAAAAGCGACCCUGUUCUAACCAGCAAGGACAUGAAAAGGGACCCUGUUCUAACCAGCAGGGCAUGAAAAAGGGACCCUGUUUUGCGGCACACUCAUACCACUAAAAAUAUAGGAAUUAACUCCCCCCCCC
rnacentral:lncRNA from 1 species